rnacentral:rRNA from 1 species
GACGAACGCUGGCGGCGUGCUUAACACAUGCAAGUCGAACGGUAAGGCCCUUCGGGGUACACGAGUGGCGAACGGGUGAGUAACACGUGGGUGAUCUGCCCUGCACUUCGGGAUAAGCCUGGGAAACUGGGUCUAAUACCGGAUAGGACUCCUGGCUUCAUGGUUGGGGGUGGAAAGCUUUUGCGGUGUGGGAUGGGCCCGCGGCCUAUCAGCUUGUUGGUGGGGUAAUGGCCUACCAAGGCGACGACGGGUAGCCGGCCUGAGAGGGUGACCGGUCACACUGGGACUGAGAUACGGCCCAGACUCAUACGGGAGGCAGCAGUGGGGAAUAUUGCACAAUGGGAGCAAGCCUGAUGCAGCGACGACGCGUGAGGGAUGACGGCCUUCGGGUUGUAAACCUCUUUCAGCUAUGACGAAGCGCAAGUGACGGUAGUAGCGGAAGAAGGACCGGCCAACUACGUGCCAGCCGCCGCGGUAA